AACGAACGCUGGCGGCGUGCUUAAUACAUGCAAGUCGAACGAGAAAGGCUGACUUCGGUCGGCCCGGUAAAGUGGCGAACGGGUGAGUAACACGUGGGCAAUCUACCCUUUAAUCUGGGAUAAUCCUCCGAAAGGAGGUCUAAUACCGGAUAACACCAUAGGAUGGCAUCAUCUAUUGGUCAAAGGCGGAGCAAUCUGCCGUUAAAGGAUGAGCCCGCGCCCCAUUAGCUUGUUGGUGAGGUAACGGCUCACCAAGGCUCCGAUGGGUAGCCGGCUUGAGAGAGUGAUCGGCCACACUGGGACUGAGAUACGGCCCAGACUCCUACGGGAGGCAGCAGUAGGGAAUAUUGCGCAAUGGACGAAAGUCUGACGCAGCAACGCCGCGUGGGUGAUGAAGCAUCUUGGUGUGUAAAACCCUGUCAGUGGGGAAGAACCAUAUCGGUAGUAACUGACCGGUAUCUGACGGUACCCACAGAGGAAGCACCGGCUAACUCCGUGCCAGCAGCCGCGGUAAUACGGGGGGUGCAAGCGUUGUUCGGAUUUACUGGGCG
rnacentral:rRNA from 1 species